rnacentral:lncRNA from 1 species
GGUUCUAAUGUAAAAAAUAUUGAAAUGGACAAGGGAAAAAUGUACCCAUGGUCUUAAAUAUGAGAGUGAUUAUAAGAAUGAAGCAGAAAAUAUGGCUUCCAGAGAUAUUUAUUCAUGUCAUGAAUAAAAUAUGUAAUAUAGAAUAAGCCUCUCCUCUGUCAUGUCAUCAUGUCCAAUUUUGUGAGCUCUUUGACUCAGAAACUCUCUGAAGCUUUAAGUGGCCUCCUCGGCUGAGCACACCUGGGUCAGUAAUGAACCAUUUGCAAAGGGCUCUGUGUGUUGUGGUUGGAGAUGCUGAGGAGGAGGCCAAUGCAGUUAUAUUAGCUGCCAUAAAACAAGGAACCACAAACUGGAUUGCUUGAAGACAGACAUGUAUUCUCCACAGUUCUGGAGGCCAGAGUCUGAUUUCAAAUUGCCAGCAGUGCCAUGUCUUUGUGAAGGACAUGGGAGGAGAACGUGUUCCAUGCUUUUUUUUUCUAGCUCCUGGUUUUGCUAUCAAUUCUUGAGAUUACUUGUCUUAUAGAAGCGUCACUCUGUUCUCUGCCUCAAUCAUCACAUGGCAUUCUUCUUCCUAUAUGUCUUCAUAUCAUCUUCCCUGUGUGUGUGUUACUUUCUGUUUCUCUACUCUUCUUACAAGGACACCAGUCAUGUAGGACUAAGGACUACCUGCUGACUUCAUCAUAACUUGAUAUAACUGCAGAUACCUUAUUUCCAAAUAAGGUUUCAUUCACAGGUACUAGGGGUUAGGGUUUCAACAUAUCUUUUAGGGGACACAACUCAACCUAUAACAGCUGUUAACUCUUGUGUUAAAACUGUUCAGAGUGAGGCCAGGUGCGGUGGCUCACGCCUGUAAUCCCAGCACUUUGGGAG